GUGCAGCAGUCGCGAAAACUCUGCAAUACGCGAAAGCGUGACAGGGCUACCCCGAGUGUCGUCCGCUGAGGACGACUUUUCCACGCUGUAAGGAGGCGUGGGAAUAAGGAGAGGGCAAGUCUGGUGUCAGCCGCCGCGGUAAUACCAGCUCUCCGAGUGGUAGGGACGUUUAUUGGGCUUAAAGCGUCCGUAGCCGGCUCAACAAGUCUCCCGUUAAAUCCAGCGAUUUAAUCGUUGGAUUGCGGGGGAUACUGCUCGGCGAGGGGGUGGGAGAGGCCAACGGUAUUCUCGGGGUAGGGGUGAAAUCCUAUAAUCCCGGGAGGAGCACCAGUGGCGAAGGCUGUUGGCUAGAACACGCCCGACAGUGAGGGAUGAAAGCUGGGGGAGCGAACCGGAUUAGAUACCCGCGUAGUCC
rnacentral:rRNA from 1 species